AGCGAACGCUGGCGGCAGGCCUAACUCAUGCAAGUCGAACGAACUCUUCGGAGUUAGUGGCGGACGGGUGAGUAACACGUGGGAACGUGCCUUUUGGUUCGGAAUAACUCAGGGAAACUUGUGCUAAUACCGAAUGUGCCCUUCGGGGGAAAGAUUUAUCGCCAUUAGAGCGGCCCGCGUCUGAUUAGCUAGUUGGUGAGGUAACGGCUCACCAAGGCGACGAUCAGUAGCUGGUCUGAGAGGAUGACCAGCCACACUGGGACUGAGACACGGCCCAGACUCCGCCGGGCCGCAGCAGUGUUUGAUCUUGCGCAAUGCUCGAAAUACUGACAAAGUCAUGCCGGGUGAAUGAUGAACGAAUUCGCAUUGCAAAAUUCUGUUAGCGGUUACGAGAGUGACGUUACCAAGAGAAGAUGCCACGGCUAACUUUGGU
rnacentral:rRNA from 1 species